UUGAGGACGCACGAAGCCUCCUUGAGCUGCUGCGCGGGGAACCGUCUCAGAGGAAGAGGAAGAGGCUUCUGAAGACAACGAGAGGAUUUUGACAUCUAGUCCACGAAGGACCGGAAUGGCGAUGGUCCCACCGCGUCCUGUCUGUGCCGAGCACCAUCCUGACACACCAGGCGUGACUGUAGAUCAGCCGCAUAGAGCUUAGCUUUUAUCGCUCCAUAUAAACAAGGUCUACAC